UGUAUGGACCAUACUUCGUAAAAUCCGGCCCAGUUCGUCUUUAAGGUUUAUUGAAACCUUUCAUCCUCUCCGUCAUUCAUCUGCUUGAAGCCAUGGCUACCCCCAUCGUCACUGCAAUUCCUGUCGAUCUAUAAAUAUGUGGUUUCUGAGUGAUGGAGAUCUACAUCACCAUAGUUAUAGCUUUUAUAAUCCGACGUAGGCCCUUCGAAAAUGUCUAACUCCUAUGUUCUUCUCGCCAAUUUGAGAGCUGGCCGUUGCUCCAACGGCGGAGCUUCUCAAAUCCAUUUCGCAGAGUUGAAACAAACACAUUUAGUUUCGGGAAGCCCCGAAUGUGUAGAAAAGGGGUUAAGUGAUGGGCCUUGAUAUGGUUCUAAUUGAUUCAAAGUUCCAGGUGCAAGAUUCUUUUUUCUUGAAUCAGCCUUUCAUGUAUCAAUUGGUGGACAUGAACUUGGCCAUACAAAAGUUUUCUUUGGCUGCUGAUUAUUCUGUUUUGGUUCCUUAUUAUUCAUUCUAUGACUAUCAUCCUCUCCAAGAAUUGAAGCCUGGCAAAAGAGUUCAGGAGACAAAAAUCGCUCCUGCUGAAGUAGCAAGGACUACUGUUGAAGUUUGUACCUGAGAAACAAUAUGAGACCACUACUGUCAGAGUUUCUUAUGAACUAGAAUAGUGUUGAGUUUUGCUAUGAUAGCUGUUUAUUUAAUUACUAAAGCAUGUAUUGGCUGAAGAGGAAGGCGGCAGGUCUAAGACUCCAAAGACUAGGUGCUCUACACCAGGCAUGAAAAUGUUUCAUCACUCACUGUUAUUUUGCAUUUGAGUUUUUAUAUGUUUUUGAGUUUCAUGAAUAAGUACACGUUUAAAAAUUUAUAAACCA